rnacentral:rRNA from 1 species
UGGGGAAUUUUGGACAAUGGGCGAAAGCCUGAUCCAGCAAUGCCGCGUGUGUGAAGAAGGCCUUCGGGUUGUAAAGCACUUUUGUCCGGAAAGAAAUCCUUGGCUCUAAUACAGUCGGGGGAUGACGGUACCGGAAGAAUAAGCACCGGCUAACUACGUGCCAGCAGCCGCGGUAAUACGUAGGGUGCAAGCGUUAAUCGGAAUUACUGGGCGUAAAGCGUGCGCAGGCGGUUUGCUAAGACCGAUGUGAAAUCCCCGGGCUCAACCUGGGAACUGCAUUGGUGACUGGCAGGCUAGAGUAUGGCAGAGGGGGGUAGAAUUCCACGUGUAGCAGUGAAAUGCGUAGAGAUGUGGAGGAAUACCGAUGGCGAAGGCAGCCCCCUGGGCCAAUACUGACGCUCAUGCACGAAAGCGUGGGGAGCAAACAGGAUUAGAUACCCUGGUAGUCCACGCCCUAAACGAUGUCAACUAGUUGUUGGGGAUUCAUUCCUUAGUAACGUAGCUAACGCGUGAAGUUGACCGCCUGGGGAGUACGGUCGCAAGAUUAAAACUCAAAUGAAUUGACGGGGUCAUAA